rnacentral:rRNA from 1 species
AUUGAACGCUGGCGGCAGGCCUAACACAUGCAAGUCGAACGAGUGGCGGACGGGUGAGUAAUGUAUGGGGAUCUGCCCGAUAGAGGGGGAUAACUACUGGAAACGGUGGCUAAUACCGCAUACUGUCGGAUGAACCCAUAUGGGAUUAGCUAGUAGGUAAGGUAAUGGCUUACCUAGGCGACGAUCCCUAGCUGGUCUGAGAGGAUGAUCAGCCACAUUGGGACUGAGACACGGCCCAGACUCCUACGGGAGGCAGCAGUGGUGAAUAUUGCACAAUGGGCGCAAGCCUGAUGCAGCCAUGCCGGGUGUAUGAAGAAGGCCCUAGGGUUGUAAAGUACUUUCAGCGGGGAGGCGUUACCCGCAGAAGAAGCACCGGCUAACUCCGUGCCAGCCGCCGCGGUAAUUC